AGAGUUUGAUCAUGGCUCAGGAUGAACGCUAGCGGCAGGCUUAACACAUGCAAGUCGAGGGGUAACAUUAGUGCUUGCACUAGAUGACGACCGGCGCACGGGUGAGUAACGCGUAUGCAACCUACCUUUAACAGGGAGAUAGCCCGAAGAAAUUCGGAUUAAUAUCCCAUAAUACAUUAAUAUGGCAUCAUAUAAAUGUUAAAACUCCGGUGGUUAAAGAUGGGCAUGCGUAACAUUAGUUAGUUGGUAAGGUAAUGGCUUACCAAGACAAUGAUGUUUAGGGGUUCUAAAAGGAAGAUCCCCCACACUGGUACUGAGACACGGACCAGACUCCUACGGGAGGCAGCAGUGAGGAAUAUUGGGCAAUGGGUGAGAACCUGACCCAGCCAUGCCGCGUGCAGGAUUACAGCCCUAUGGGUUUUAAACUGCUUUUAUACGGGAAGAAAAUGGGCUACGUGUAGCCUACUGCCGGUACCGUAUGAAUAAGCAUCGGCUAACUCCGUGCCAGCAGCCGCGGUAACACGGAGGAUGUAAGCGUUAUCCGGAUUUAUUAGGUUUAAAGGGUGCGUAGGCUGAUUAUUAAGUCAGUGGUGAAAUCUUGUAGCUUAA
rnacentral:rRNA from 1 species